UGGCUCAGAGUGAGCGCUAGCGGCGCGCCUAACACAUGCAAGUCGAACGCCCGCAAGGGCGUGGCAAACGGCUGCGUAACACGUUGGUAUCUGCCUCGAACUCAGGGAUAUCCCUCCGAAAGGAGGAGUAAUACCGGAUGGUCCCGAAAGGGUAAAGCUUUCGCGGUUCGAGAGGAGCCUGCGGCCUAUCAGCUCGUUGGUGAGGUAACGGCUCACCAAGGCAAUGACGGGUAGCUGGUCUGAGAGGACGACCAGCCAGAAUGGAACUGAGACACGGUCCAUACUCCUACGGGAGGCAGCAGUGAGGAAUCUUCCGCAAUGGGCGCAAGCCUGACGGAGCGACGCCGCGUGGAGGACGAAGGCCUUUCAGGUCGUAAACUCCUGUUCUGAGGGACGAAAUUUUUGACGGUACCUCAGGAGAAAGUAUCGGCAAACCCUGUGCCAGCAGCCGCGGUAAGACAGGGGAUGCAAGCGUUACUCGGAAUCACUGGGCGUAAAGCGUCUGUAGGCUUUCUAAAAAGUCUGAGGUUAAAUGUCGGGGCUCAACCCCGUCUCUGUCUCGGAAACUCUUAGAAUGGAGCAAUGGAGAGGCACCUGGAAUGCCAUGUGUAGGAGUAAAAUCCGUAGAUACAUGGUAGAACGCCAAAAGCGAAGGCAGGGUGCUAGACAUUCGCUGACGCUGAGAGACGAAAGCGUGGGGAGCAAAGGGGAUUAGAUACCCCCGUAGUCCACGCCCUAAACGAUGUGUGCUCGAUGUAGGAGAUUUCUCAAUUGUCUCCUGUGUCUUAGCUUACGCGGUAAGCACACCGCCUGGGAAGUACGGUCGCAAGACUAAAACUCAAAGGAAUGAC
rnacentral:rRNA from 1 species